UACAGAGGUCUCAAGCGUUGUUCGGAUUCAUUGGGCGUAAAGGGUGCGUAGGCGGCGCGGUAAGUCGGGGUGUGAAAUCUCGGAGCUUAACUCCGAAACUGCAUUCGAUACUGCCGUGCUUGAGGACUGGAGAGGAGACUGGAAUACUUGGUGUAGCAGUGAAAUGCGUAGAUAUCAAGUGGAACACCAGUGGCGAAGGCGAGUCUCUGGACAUUUCCUGACGCUGAGGCACGAAAGCCAGGGGAGCAAACGGG
rnacentral:rRNA from 1 species